rnacentral:rRNA from 1 species
GGGAUUGCCCUAGUAACGGCGAGUGAAGCGGCAACAGCUCAAAUUUGAAAUCUGGCGCAAGCCCGAGUUGUAAUUUGUAGAGGAUGCUUCUGGGUAGCGACCGGUCUAAGUUCCUUGGAACAGGACGUCAUAGAGGGUGAGAAUCCCGUAUGUGACCGGCCCGCACCCUUUACGUAGCUCCUUCGACGAGUCGAGUUGUUUGGGAAUGCAGCUCUAAAUGGGAGGUAAAUUUCUUCUAAAGCUAAAUACCGGCCAGAGACCGAUAGCGCACAAGUAGAGUGAUCGAAAGAUGAAAAGUACUUUGGAAAGAGAGUUAAAAAGCACGUGAAAUUGUUGAAAGGGAAGCGCCUGCAAUCAGACUUCGCGGCAGUGUUCCGCCGGCCUUCUGGCCGGUUCACUCUCUGUCGCGAGGCCAUCAUCGUCUCGGCCCGCUGGAUAAGACCUUGGGAAUGUAGCUCACCUUCGGGGGAGUGUUAUAGCUCAUGGUGAUGCAGCGAGGCUGGGGCGAGGUCCGCGCUUCGGCAAGGAUGAUGGCGUAAUGGUUGUCGGCGGCCCGUCUUGAAACACGGACCAAGGAGUCUAACAUCUAUGCGAGUGUUCGGGUGUCAAACCCCUACGCGUAAUGAAAGUGAACGGAGGUGGGAACCGCAAGGUGCACCAUCGACCGAUCCUGAUGUCCUCGGAUGGAUUUGAGUAAGAGCAUAGCUGUUGGGACCCGAAAGAUGGUGAACUAUGCCUGAAUAGGGUGAAGCCAGAGGAAACUCUGGUGGAGGCUCGCAGCGGUUCUGACGUGCAAAUCGAUCGUCAAAUUUGGGUAUA